rnacentral:tRNA from 1 species
GGUUCUGUGGCAGAGGCGGUCUAUGCAGAGGACUGAAAAUCCCCAGAAGGUGGUUCAAUUCCACCCGGAACCG